CGGAUCCUGACUAGUGAAAGGUCCCUGCUUCAAUAUCUCCUGGGCCCGGAUGCUCAUGGCAGAGGCCGCGAUACCUGCAGUUCCUGUGAUUCGGUGGGAUUAUAUUCCAGCCUGCCAAACCUGGAAAAAAUACAGCUCUCUUCAUUAAUCUUCCAGGAACCAGAACAGAGUUUUCCUUCGGUACAUUCCUCUGCUGCUUCGUCCAGCACUCGCCCUCUACUUCCCACUGAAUCAGGAAACAGGCUUUUACAUUCCUUUCCGCUGAUUCCAUUGCCGUGCAGUGAUUCCCAAGAAAAGAAGUGACAUCAUCCUGUCAUUGCUGAAUUCUGGCAGAAAUGCAGCCGCUAAAAUGGAAAGAGGAAAAAAUGUUUUUGGCAGCGGUCAGGAGUGAGCAGUUGCACAGCAC
rnacentral:lncRNA from 1 species